UCGAGAAUCUUGGGCAAUGCACGAAAGUGUGACCCAGCGACGCCGCGUGAAGGAUGAAGGCCCUCCGGGUCGUAAACUUCUUUUACGGGAGAAGAAUCAAUGACGGUACCCCGUGAAUAAGCCACGGCUAACUACGUGCCAGCAGCCGCGGUAAUACGUAGGUGGCAAGCGUUGUCCGGAUUUACUGGGCGUAAAGCGAACGCAGGCGGAUGGUUAAGUAAGAAGUGAAAGGUCGGGGCUCAACCCCAACACUGCUUCUUAUACUGGCCGUCUUGAGUCCCGGAGAGGAAAGCGGAACUGCACGUGUAGCGGUGAAAUGCGUUGAUAUGUGCAGGAACACCAAUGGCGAAAGCAGCUUUCUGGACGAGGACUGACGCUCAUGUUCGAAAGCCAAGGGAGCGAACA
rnacentral:rRNA from 1 species